rnacentral:rRNA from 1 species
AUUGGACGCUGGCGGCAUGCCUUGCACAUGCAAGUCGAACGGCAGCACGGGAGCAAUCCUGGUGGCGAGUGGCGAACGGGUGAGUAAUAUAUCGGAACGUGCCCAGUCGUGGGGGAUAACGUAGCGAAAGCUACGCUAAUACCGCAUACGAUCUAUGGAUGAAAGCGGGGGAUCGCAAGACCUCGCGCGAUUGGAGCGGCCGAUAUCAGAUUAGGUAGUUGGUGAGGUAAAGGCUCACCAAGCCGACGAUCUGUAGCUGGUCUGAGAGGACGACCAGCCACACUGGGACUGAGACACGGCCCAGACUCCUACGGGAGGCAGCAGUGGGGAAUUUUGGACAAUGGGCGCAAGCCUGAUCCAGCAAUGCCGCGUGCAGGAUGAAGGCCUUCGGGUUGUAAACUGCUUUUGUACGGAACGAAACGGCGAGCUCUAAUACAGCUUGCUAAUGACGGUACCGUAAGAAUAAGCACCGGCUAACUACGUGCCAGCAGCCGCCGUAA